rnacentral:rRNA from 1 species
GGCGGACGGGUGAGUAACGCGUAGGAAUCUGCCUGGUAGCGGGGGACAACCUGGUGAAAACCAGGCUAAUACCGCAUACGCCCUACGGGGGAAAGCAGGGGAUCUUCGGACCUUGCACUAUCAGAUGGGCCUGCGUCGGAUUAGCUAGUUGGUGAGGUAAUGGCUCACCAAGGCGACGAUCCGUAGCUGGUUUGAGAGAAUGAUCAGCCACACUGGGACUGAGACACGGCCCAG